rnacentral:rRNA from 1 species
UACGGAGGGGGCUAGCGUUGUUCGGAAUUACUGGGCGUAAAGCGCACGUAGGCGGCUUUGUAAGUUAGAGGUGAAAGCCCGGGGCUCAACUCCGGAAUUGCCUUUAAGACUGCAUCGCUAGAAUUGUGGAGAGGUAAGUGGAAUUCCGAGUGUAGAGGUGAAAUUCGUAGAUAUUCGGAAGAACACCAGUGGCGAAGGCGGCUCACUGGCCCCGGUACUGACGCUGAGACGCGAAAAGCGUGGGGGAGCAAACAGG